UUCCGCACCUGGUGCAGGGGCCUCGUUGAUCACCGAGGACAAGCUUAGAGGGCGAGGUGCGGGCAUUGCACUGCGCUCGCGUUGACCCCUGUCACUACUCCAUACUGGGGCAGAUGGGGCAUGCAAAUUAC
rnacentral:snRNA from 1 species